UAGAAGUUCAUGCCGAGAGAGCAGUAAUUUCCAAAGCUGCAGAGGUAGUAGAAAGUACCUUCUUCCCGGAAAGUGAUCUUAGCAGGGCCGAUGACAAAAGACCGGUAAGGGUUUUCAUACCGGCAACCCUCGUACUCUUCUCUUGAAACUUGGAUCAUAUCGUAGAAUCCGGUCUCGAAUUUAAACACUGUCAACCAAAUCGCCGAUUAGUUUUGAUUAUCGAUUUAGGGUUUUUUUACUUGCUUACACUUACUUACCCAAAUCAUCGCCGACGAGAAAUGUAGUGUUUCUCGCCCAGUCGUUGUAGUAGCUGUUGCUUGCUGGAAUGGUCCAUGUGGAGUUUCCGACAAUGUGCUCCACUGCCGCCGAUCUCUGCUGUCCUCCGGUCAGAAAUGUCCC
rnacentral:lncRNA from 1 species